CAGGACGAACGCUGGCGGCGUGCCUUAGACAUGCAAGUCGAGCGAGAACUUCGGUUCUAGCGGCAAACGGCGCAGUAAUACGUAAGCAACGUGCCCCCAAGACUGGGACAGUCCGGGGAAACCCGGUUUAAUACCAGAUGUGGCCGUUCUUCCGCCUGGAAGAGCGAUUAAAGGACUUCGGUCGCUUAGGGAGCGGCUUACGACCUAUCAGGUAGUUGGUGAGGUAACGGCUCACCAAGCCUACGACGGGUAGCGGGUCUGAGAGGAUGAUCCGCGCGAGUGGGACUGAGACACGGCCCACACACCUACGGGUGGCAGCAGUUUGGAAUAUUGCACAAUGGGGGAAACCCUGAUGCAGCGACGCCGCGUGGGGGAUGACGGAUUUCGGUCUGUAAACCCCUUUUGCCAGGAAAGACUUAGGACGGUACCUGGCGAAUAAGCCCCGGCUAACUACGUGCCAGCAGCCGCGGUAAUACGUAGGGGGCGAGCGUUGUCCGGAUUUACUGGGCGUAAAGGGCGCGCAGGCGGCCUGUUAAGUGUGAAGUGAAAUCUCCCGGCUCAACCAGGAAAUUGCUUUGCAUACUGGCAGGCUAGAGAAAGGCAGAGGUAGAUGGAAUUCCCGGUGUAGCGGUGACAUGCGUUGAUAUCGGGAGGAACACCAAUGGCGAAGGCAGUCUACUGGGCCUCUUCUGACGCUCAGGCGCGA
rnacentral:rRNA from 1 species